ACUGGCUGACGAGUCCCAAAUAGGACGAGAUGCGCAUCCUGGAU
rnacentral:hammerhead_ribozyme from 1 species